UACGUAGGUGGCAAGCGUUGUCCGGAUUUACUGGGUGUAAAGGGCGUGUAGGCGGGAAAUUAAGUCAGAUGUGAAAUUCCAGGGCUCAACUCUGGCGCUGCAUCUGAAACUAAUUUUCUUGAGUGAUGGAGAGGAAAGCGGAAUUCCUAGUGUAGCGGUGAAAUGCGUAGAUAUUAGGAGGAACACCAGUGGCGAAGGCGGCUUUCUGGACAUUAACUGACGCUGAGGCGCGAAAGCGUGGGGAG
rnacentral:rRNA from 1 species